UUUUACAAUUUUUUUUCUAUUUCUAUUAUUUUUCUACCUCAUUACUUUCCUAUUUCUAUUUGCUGGGUCACAGACAGCAGCAAAUUCCAUACCUUUGGGGUUAUACCAGCUCAUGUGCAAUAGAAAUAGAAAUAUCAAAGCUCUCAGUCUACCACCUUCUGCUCCAGAGAUGUGGCCCAAGCACACCUUUGGAUGUGAACCAGGGCAACCCAAGGCAGAGCUGGAUACCUGGGAGUUUCUCCCUGUAAGCCCUGGACCUGCUUACCUGAAAGCCAGACUGCUUCUGGCGCCACUGCCGCUCAGAAGAAGUUGGGGUCGGUUCAGCCGCUAAAAUGACACAAGUCUCAGGUCUCGUGUCUUCAGUACAACUUUCUCUAAGAGGGAGAAAUUUAUUCAAGAUCCUGUUAGCACUUUUCUCUCCUGUUGCCUUUCAGGAUUAUAGCUUUUCCUUUUUUCAUUUUUUAAUUCCCAAAACCAAGCUUGUUAGAUCAAAUCUUUACCCCAUUCCUGGCAAAUAACAAGGUUAUUACUAUUUGGCCCUACACCCACUAGUUGUCCCCCAGUACCCUGAGGAUAAGGGGACUCCGUAAGGUCCCUGGGAGGGGAAAGGAAUAUCAAUUAGUGGUCCCCCCAACUGGCUAUAAGCAAACUUUCCUGUCUGUGGGCCCCAGAAACCACCACCUAGUUCCCCCACCAAAACUUUACAUGAUUUUAAUUCUCCUGAUGAGGAUGAGAGGACAACAUUAGCCAACAGAGAGGGCAGAGGAUGGGAUGGGACUACCUUGCUCAGAGACCCUCACCUCUAGGUCUUUACCUCGUAUUGAGAAUAAGCCAGUACUGGAUUAAGAACUCUGUGUCCAUGGCAACUCCAAACAGAAUCCUGGUGCUCUUGAGAUUCUCGUAGAGUAGGGAAUAAAACGAGCUUGGUCCAAGACUGCAGAGACUUAAAAACACGCUGUUCUGCCACACAUACAGAUACUCAUUAAAGAUGAGGGAAAAGGGCAUGGGGUCGGGGAGAACGUACCAAAACCAAAGACCACAGGAUAAUCACCUUAGAGCAGAGAUGAUCUCUCCAGUUAUUUUUUCUUUUGUAUGUAAUGGAGGGGAUUCUUCUUAUUUACGCUGAUGAACUUUUUAUCAAGUGUUCGGCUUCCUUUGUGGGUUAGAGAGAAUAACCAGAGGGCUCAGUGUUUUCUAGACCAUAUUAAAUUUCACUAAAGUAAGCAAGGUUGAUAGGACUUGCAGGGGAAACUUCAUUGACUCAAGCUAUCAUUUUCUAGGAUUGUGAGAAAAUAAAUAGGUGUACAUUUAAAAUACACCCAUAUUCUAGUUAGAAGAGAGGAUUUUGAGUGUUCUUACAGCAAAGAAAUGGUAAAUGUUUAAGGCAAUGGAUAUGCUAAUUACCAUGAUUUGAUCAUUAUACCAUGUAAAAUGUACUGAAACAUCACACUGUACCUCAUAUGUACAAUUUGUUAUGUAUACAUUAAAAUUUUGAUUAUAAGAAAAAAUAAACUUCAAAUGUAAGAAAACAACCCAACUUUUAAAAAAUGGGCAAAAUAUGUGAACAGAUACUUCACUAAUAAAGAUUUGCAACUGACAAGCCAAUGAAAAGAGGGCCAUCAUAACUAGCUAUUAGAGAAAUGCAGAUUCAAACUACAAUAAGAAACCACUAGAUACCUAUUAGAAUAUCUAAAAUUAGAAAGAUGGCGUGUUGACAAAGAUAGAGAGAAACUGAAACUCUCAUACAAUGCCAGGAAUGUAAAGUGCUAGAUCCACUUUGGAAAACAGUUUGGCAGUUUCUUAAGAAGUUAAUUAGGUCUUCCAGUUCCCACUCCAACAUGCAGAGAACUUGGAAGUCAUCACUCCCAUCUUCACAACAGGAAAAAAGAUAAUCAAACUGAAAAUCAACAACUUUUCUUAGAUCUGUCAGAGAAUAGAGGUCACAGGGCAAACCACUUCCUCAAAAACUAGAGAGACACGUGACUACAGAACAUCACAGUUUACCUGAGAGCAGAAGCCACAGGAGCCAGUAAUUGGUAGGAACACUUAAAUGCUAGUCAAUUAAUUACCGGUGGCUGAGUGUGGACUAGCUUGAGAGUUAAAAACUUGUUGAAGUCCCGCCUUGGGAACCCCUUAUACUUUCAUGAAUGUUACUUCCAGAAACCCUAGCUGGUUCUCAUGAUGAAGGCUGAAGAAAAUUUCCUCAGGCUCUUUAGGCAAGGAAAAGGGAAAAGCAACCAUUUCAAAAUAUACCCUAGUUGGUGGAUAGAGUGAGUGGGUACAGCAACCAUUUUGAAAUAUGCCCAGAGCAUUCUAUUCUCUGUGUGAAAGCCCUGCCCUAAAGAAAAACUGCUUUAUCAGGGCCUUGUCUGACAUAGGGGAAAAGCAGUAAGACAACUCUAAACCCCUCUAGUUUUCCUGUCCCACAUAAAAGGAGAGGAAAAAAAGAAAUCAUUACUAAGUCAGUAUCAGAAAAAUUUACACCUAUGUUUUUGUCUAAGAGUACGGUUUGGGAUCUUACAUUUAGAUAUUUCUUCCAUUUGAGGUUGAUUUUUCUGUAUGAUGUGAGGAAGAGAUCUAACUUCAUCCACUUGCUGAAGAGACUGUUCUUUUCCACUGAAUGGCCUUGAUACCCUUGUGGAAAAUCAAUUGACCUUAAAUGUAUGAAUUUACUUCUGGACUCUCAAUUCUAUUCCAUUGAUCUACAUGUCUAUCCUUAUUCCAGUACUACACAAUUUUAACCACUAUAAGUAAGUUUUGAAAUAAUAAAGUGUGGACUCUGCAACUUCAUUGUUCUUCUUCAAGAUCAUUUUGCUUCUUCGGAGUCCCUUGCAUUUUCAAAUGAAUUUUAGGAUCAGCAAGUCAAUUUCUGCAAAAUAGAAGCUAGGAUUCUGAUAGGAACUGAGUUGAAUAUGUAGAUCAAUUUGUGGAGUACUGUCAUCUUAACAGUAAUGUCUUCCAUUCAAUAAACCCAGAAUGUGUAUCUAUUUAUUUAGGUCUUUACUUAAUCACUUUCAAUAAUGUUUUGUAGUCUUACAUUUCUUUUGUUUUAGUCUUAUUUUUUAAUGCUAUUGUAAAUAAAAUUACUUUCUUAAUUUC
rnacentral:lncRNA from 1 species